AACAGAAAUCAGAGAAAGGAAAAUGCUUCAGAGGCAAGGGACCAUGGAGAAGAGAGUGACAGGCAUGAAGGUGGCAAUGAACUGGAGAAAGAAGGAAGGAAGAGGAGGAGACAGGGAGCUGGUCUUACAGCAGAAUGUAUGGUGAGUGGAGCCUGCAGAAGAGGAGAGCCUUCCUAUUUUACUGCUCUGUGGUCCCGAGGCAGAGGAAACCAGCAGCACAGAUCCAGACGUAUCCUGUGGA